CCUAAUCCCCAGAGAGUCUAUUACCUUGCAGGACAAAAGACACUUGGCAGAUGUGAUUAAGGAUCUUCAGAUGGAGGGAUGGUCCUGGGUCACCAAAGUCCUCCUGCAGACCCUCAGACUGAGGGCGAGAGAGCUGGAGGGGAGAGGGCAGACCUCAGCUGGGGACUCCGGGACCAGUGCUCACCCCCCAGGCCGGUGCCCUUGAGCGUGGAGGUUCCCGAACAAGCCUGGCCACCACAGAAACCCCGGCCCAAUUGGCCUUAAAAUAACUCAGCAUCCUCGGCGGCCUUCUGGGCAGAAGCAGCCCCUGCAGCCAUCUCCCCAAGUUCAGCCUUCCUGGCUGCCCCAUUCAAUGCUGGGACCAUCUCCCCCUCCGUGAGGCCGGGCCUGGUGAACACUCUGUAGAUUCCCUGGGGUUUUCUGCACGGAUGAUGGUGACACUGGCACUUAGAGACGGGCUGGGACCUCCCGGCUCAAGGUGGAACGAAGGCGGGGACAGUGGACACAAUGUCUCCUUCCCACGACCCCCCCCCCCCGGGAAAAAGCUUCCAGGCUCUCACCAUUCCCUGAGCCCUUGGCUAUAGGUUUUCUCGUAGUUUCUUUUUCCAGUCGGUGAUGUCCCCUCGUAUUCUUAGAUGGCUGAAAAUUAAAAAGAAAAAAAAAAAAAGGUUGUUUUUUUUUUUUUUUUAUCAUGAAUGAAUUUGGUCAUGUUUUUUUCACAUCCAUUGAAAUGACACCGUUUUAAAAAAGUCCUUUAUUCUGGUAAUGAAGUGAAUCGCACUGAUUGAUUUUGAAUAUUAAAUCAACC